AUCAUUAUCUAAUCAUCUUAAUUCAUUUACUUGACUUUUCAUUUUCCUGAAUGAAUCUAGCUUUUCUUAAUUAUUAAUUCUAUCCUUAUUUUAGAAAAAUCUUACAUUUCCUACUAGUGACUUGCCAUGAGCUCCUGAAAUGGAGGAGUGGGAUACAGGAGUUGGAUUAUAUCAUUUUUAGGUGCUUUCAAUGCACAUGUAUCUUUUUUUACAAUUAUGUGGGAACUAUUUUUCAAAUUAUAAAGAGUACCACAUUUUUGUGAGAGAGAGAGGACUAUUCUCAUAUGCUUGGAGAGUAUCUUGGGUUUUGCUUUGAAAUUUAAACCACCAGAAUCAACCAUGUGAAAAGAUAUGUGUGGCAGGGGUGCUUCACCAAGGGAUUGGUGAAUGUGCUUGUGAAGAGUGGCAUAAGGGACUCAUAAUUGAUGUUAGUUGUUGAUUAGAAAUAGAUGAUGAACCAAAUCUCAUAUUGGAAGUGACUUGUUGGAGGAUGGGACUAAAUGGGUAAAAAAUAGAAAAAGAAAGGAGU
rnacentral:misc_RNA from 1 species